UCGCAGGAAGAACUUCCCAUUCUAAGAAGUCUCUAAGCGUCUCUGCGAUUAAAAGGAGCAGGUAUCAAGCACACUAAAAAGUAGCUCAUAACACCUUGCUCAGCCACACCCCCACGGGACACAGCAGUGAUAAAAAUUAAGCUAUGAACGAAAGUUCGACUAAGUUAUAUUAAAUAAGGGUUGGUAAAUUUCGUGCCAGCCACCGCGGUCAUACGAUUAACCCAAAUUAAUAAACCCUCCGGCGUAAAGCGUGUCAAAGACUAAUACCAAAAUAAAGUUAAAACCCAGUUAAGCCGUAAAAAGCUACAACCAAAGUAAAAUAGACUACGAAAGUGACUUUAAUACCUCUGACUACACGAUAGCUAAGACCCAAACUGGGAUUAGAUACCCCACUAUGCUUAGCCCUAAACUAAAAUAGCUCACCACAACAAAGCUAUUCGCCAGAGUACUACUAGCAACAGCCUAAAACUCAAAGGACUUGGCGGUGCUUUACAUCCCUCUAGAGGAGCCUGUUCCAUAAUCGAUAAACCCCGAU
rnacentral:ncRNA from 1 species